rnacentral:rRNA from 1 species
CCAAAAAUCUAGCCUAGACACAAUUAAAUUCCACCACCCAAAUUUUACCAAUUAAACAAAUCAUUUAAACAUUUUAGUAAAGGAGAUCAAAAAACUAAUAAGAGCUAUAUAAAUAGUACCGCAAGGGAAAAAUGAAAUAAACUGAAAACCUAUUAAGCACAAAAAAGUAAAGAUUACCUCUCGUACCUUUUGCAUCAUGAUUUAACUAGUUUAACCAAGCAAAACGAAUUAAAGUUUGACUCCCCGAAACUAUGUGAGCUACUUCAAGGCAGCCAAAAGAGCAAACCCGUCUCUGUAGCAAAAGAGUGGGAAGACCUUCAAGUAGCGGUGACAGACCUAACGAACUUAGUGAUAGCUGGUUGCUUAAGAAAGGAACUUAAGUCCUACCUGAAGCACCAAUAAUUUAACAAAAAUACCAAAUUAACUUCAGAGCUAUUCAAAUAAGGUACAGCCUAUUUGAAAAAGGAAACAACCUUUACUAAUGGAUAAAAACAACUUAAUCUACAACCAAGUCGGCCUAAAAGCAGCCACCUUAAAAUAGCGUCAAAGCUUAAUUGCACCACCAGUCUAAUACCACAACAUGUAAACUCCUCACUCCGUACUAAGCAAUACUAUACCUCUAUAGAAAAUUUUAUGUUAAAACUAGUAACAAGAAGACAGACCUUCUCUUAAAUGUAAACGUAAAUCAUAAGGACAAACCACUGAUAUUUAACGCUCAAGAACCAGAAGUAAUAACCAACCAAGAAAACUUUACUUUAAUUAACGUUAACCUAACACAAGAGCAUUUCAAGAAAGAUUAAAAGAAAAAGAAGGAACUCGGCAAACUUUAACCUCGCCUGUUUACCAAAAACAUCACCUCUUGAUAAUAAUGAGAGGCCCAGCCUGCCCAGUGACCCAGUUCAACGGCCGCGGUAUCCUAACCGUGCGAAGGUAGCGUAAUCACUUGUUCUUUAAAUAAGGACUAGUAUGAACGGCAUCACGAGGGUUAUGCUGUCUCCUUUUUCCGAUCAGUGAAACUAAUUUCCCCGUGAAGAAGCGGGGAUAAAAUUAUAAGACGAGAAGACCCUAUGGAGCUUCAAACAACACAACAAAUGCCAAACAACUUAAAAAUUUCAUAACUCCAAAUUUACUCAGCAUUAUGAUUGUUAGUUUUAGGUUGGGGUGACCGCGGAGCAAAACACAACCUCCACAUUGAAAGAAUUUUAUUCUAAGCCAAGAACCACAACUCAAAGCAUCUAUAUAUUGACAUUAAUUGACCCAAUAAACUUGAACAACGAACCAAGUUACCCUAGGGAUAACAGCGCAAUCUACUUCAAGAGCCCCUAUCGACAAGUAGGUUUACGACCUCGAUGUUGGAUCAGGGUCUCCAAGUGGUGCAGCCGCUACUAAGAGGU